GCAUAGUUGAGUAAUUGAUUGUCGGACUGCAUAUCAAUUACAAUUGAAUGUAAUUUUCCUGAUGAUAUUAGUCCCAAAUACAAAGGCUGAGGAACAAAUCUGAAUACACCAAGUGAUUUAUUUGCAUGUUUACUAUUUAUCUACUCAAAAUCUAUAUAUUCAACGGUUUAAUAGACUCGAAGAUUUUUAAUCAAGGCAUUUUAUUAAAUCAUAAUUACAAACUAUAUACCGUUCUCUGGAUUUUAGAUGAAAGUUUUUGAGCUUACGUUUUCGCUUCCAAAACUCCAAAUUCAUCCUUAUUUACCCACUCCAAUGAUGAUAAUAAUCACUCGCAUUCCAUAGUAGUCAAUGACAGUCAACCUACUAAAAUCAUUAACCAAUCAGACGUUCCCACAGACAACGUCGACAACAGCGCGUAAAUUCAAUCAAUCCUUCUGGUGAAAACUCGACUUACCAUGAAAGUUGAAAGCUCAAAAAACGUUUAACUGUAAUCCAGAGAAGCUAUAAAUUGGUAAAUAUUAUAAUUUAUUAUAAUAUUUACCGGCUAAGAGCCGUGUUGAUAUAACUCAAUAGCAAAGAGAUUGACGUAUUUUUCGCAAACGUCUAACCGCUAACCGCCAGAAACCAUGUGAACAGGAGCUUGCCGUCACGUUUGCCGUAAAUCGCUCACGUUUUAAACCUCAAGAGUGCAUUCUACAGGUAAAUGAUUUACCUCAGCAUUUUAUUCAACUGUUAUUACUUCAUUGCACGUAUAUGACAUAUAUUAAGACAAAUAUACAUCUUAUCUUUGAAUUGGAUGGAUAAAAGUUGUUUUUAACGUGAAAUUUUUCAUAUUCUGAGUGCUUUUAACCGAACCAUGUAUAAAUUCGAUAUAUUGACAACCUUGCGCCCAAUCGACUCUCUAAUUUAUUUGAGUUAAACAAACAUGAAAAUUUCGAUUGUCAGUUCAAUAUUUUGUGGCCGAUUUUGGUAUGAUAGAUUUC